rnacentral:rRNA from 1 species
AUGGGCGCUUCCAUCCUGUCCGACCGUGGAAAAGGCAAAGGAGGACGUAAAUCCACGUGCAGCAGCCAGCAAGCAGCCAAGCGGCUUGCAGUAUGCACACACGAAACCGCAACAGAAUCGCCGAAGCAUCACCCUCAAAAAAAAUCGCCGAAGCAUCGUAGGCCAAGCAGGCAAGCAAAGGUAGCGAGGCGGGCACGCCUCCCCUUCCGCGCCUCCGCUACGCUCCAACCCGCCGAACCAAACGAGCCCCAGCUCCCACCACCCGGAAAAAUCCUACUCUAUAAAUCAAUCGACGCACCACGUCCACAGGCAUCCAUCGAAAUCUUUCUCAUCGGCUCCUACCAGCACCACGCCAGGCAAGAAGAAAGCCACGACACCUCCUCUACUGUUCCUUAUCCGUGUCCCGUAGCUAGCCAGCAAUCUGCGCAGCAAGAAAAGAAGGGAGGUACUUGGAUCGCUUCUUCUGUGGAGAUGGUGGCGCCCAUGGUGAUCGCGUCCGCGGGGCUCGGGAUGCUGGCGGGCGUGGCGAUGGCGAACCGGACGACCAGGGACGGGCUGCCGGCGGCGUCCAGAAGCUGCCGACCGCGCCCGGGCGACGCGGAGACUAGAACUGAUAUUCGUCGGUUUCCCGGAGUAAAUCAGAGGUGCAGUUAG